UUCUUAAAAAUUGCAGACGUUCUAGUACACAACAUAACCGACUAUAAAAUUUGUAUUCUUUAGUGAAAAUACUUGUUCAGAUCAAAAUGAGAAUUUUAUUUUAUAGUGUAUUUUUUCUCUACGUAAUAUUUGUUGUGUUGAGUAAUGGUGCCACAUUAGGUCCACGUCAAAAAAGAGGUAUUCUUAUUCGUCCAUUAAACUGUCCCCCUGGUUGGAUAUUCGUAAAUAGACGAUGUUAUAAGAAGUAUCUCGCUCCCUCUUCUAUAACGUACCACUGAGGAUCCAAGUAACCAGCUUUUUUAUAUGUCUGCAAUUAUGUAAACGUAAUAAAAUUGUUUAGAAGCAA